UUGAAGACCGGAUUAUCUGACAACUUCGAAACAAGAUGGAAAGCUCCGAAGUCUAGGUGUGUACUCCAAGUCAGGAGGACCAGUUCGGCCCAUCUAUCCCCGACUAAGGUCGGUAACAUGUAACCGUAGGAGCCAUGGUGUCUAUAUAAACCAGAGGUUCUUAUGCGUAGAGGCAGGAUAUAUCAUCUAGGGUUUAGCUCAUACGAUCUCGAGGUA
rnacentral:lncRNA from 1 species